GAACGCACAUUGCGCCCGUCAGUAUUCUGACGGGCAUGCCUGUCCGAGCGUCAUUUCAACCCUCAAGCACGGCUUGGUGUUGGCGGAUUGCGUGCCCUCGCGGCGCUGCAACCGCCCAAAUACAGUGGCGGUCCCGCUGCGGCUCCCUUUGCGUAGUAACUCACCUCGCACUGGACCGGGCGGCGGCCAGCCGUAAAACCCCAACUUACGAAAUGUUGACCUCGGAUCAGGUAGGAAUACCCGCUGAACUUA
rnacentral:misc_RNA from 1 species